UUGUUGUUUUUUAAUCAUGUCUUCUUUUUUUUCUUUCUUUUUCUGUGAAGAACUGUAAAAGCACCCUUGCAGGAGGCCUGAACCAUAGAAGGGAAUACCGCCUUAGCCCUUACCCAGGGAUCUGACAACCAGUGAAAUUAAAAUGGCCUCUCAAGGUGACGUCCGUAUUUCUCUUUCUCCCCAUCUUCUCCUGUCAACAACCCUGCCAAGCCGGUUAGGCUGAGAGGGAGUGGCUAGCCCAAGAUCACCCAGUGCUUCUCAUGGCUGAGCGGGAAAUUGAGCCCUGCUCUUCCAGGUCCAAGCCCAGCACUCUAACCACUAGGCCACAUGGACUCUCCUGGAAUCUUGGCAUGGUGGCCGUGCGUUCCAUGUCACCAAGCAACGGAGGCUGUGACUGUUUGAACUGAGGUUCUGGCAUCUUCAGCGUGGAGAGGUUGGCAGAGGUUUGCUGUAGUGACCCUUGCUUAUUUGGAUUAGAAUAUGGCAUCUCAAAGACUCCUGGGGGUCACCUUCCUUCCUGCGGAGCAGCUCUUGGAGGCCAAGUGCUUCCUGGCCAGUGACCUUGCUGCUGAGAGCACCUUUGAGCCCUUGGACAUCUCCCACUUGCUGCAAGAGUUCAGCGGCAAAGCAGUGGAGGUAGUAUGCUGCCAGGGUAGGAGAGAAGAAUCUCCGCCUUGAAGUAGGGGAGUCCACCCCAUGCCAUUGGGUGGCCAUGACACAUGUUUGUUGGGAGGGGCCUCACAAUGUCAGAACAAGAACCUCA